GUAUUUUUAGAGACAUCCUAUAAAAUUGGAAUGAUACAGAAGAUUAGCAUAGCCUGCACAAGGUUGACACGUUUAUUCUCUCUAGCUUCCUGCUUUAA